rnacentral:tRNA from 1 species
UCUCUGGUGGUCCAGUGGUUAGGACUUGGUGCUUUCACUGCCAAGGGCUUGGAUUCAAUUCCUGGUCAGGGAA